GUGCAGAUACACAUGGAAGCAGAAUGUUG
rnacentral:piRNA from 1 species